rnacentral:rRNA from 1 species
UACGAAGGGGGCUAGCGUUGCUCGGAAUGACUGGGCGUAAAGGGCGCGUAGGCGGUUUGGACAGUCAGAUGUGAAAUUCCUGGGCUCAACCUGGGGGCUGCAUUUGAUACGUUCGGACUAGAGUGGGGAAGAGGGUCGUGGAAUUCCCAGUGUAGAGGUGAAAUGCGUAGAUAUCUGGAGGAACAUCAGUGGCGAAGGCGGCUUCCUGGUCCAACACUGACACUGGGGUGCGAAAGCGUGGGGAGCAAACAGG